GAUGAACGCUGGCGGCGUGCUUAACACAUGCAAGUCGAACGAUGAAGCCCAGCUUGCUGGGUGGAUUAGUGGCGAACGGGUGAGUAACACGUGAGCAACCUGCCCCUGACUCUGGGAUAAGCGCUGGAAACGGCGUCUAAUACUGGAUAUGUCCCGUCACCGCAUGGUGUGCGGGUGGAAAGAUUUUUCGGUUGGGGAUGGGCUCGCGGCCUAUCAGCUUGUUGGUGAGGUAACGGCUCACCAAGGCGUCGACGGGUAGCCGGCCUGAGAGGGUGACCGGCCACACUGGGACUGAGACACGGCCCAGACUCCUACGGGAGGCAGCAGUGGGGAAUAUUGCACAAUGGGCGAAAGCCUGAUGCAGCAACGCCGCGUGAGGGAUGACGGCCUUCGGGUUGUAAACCUCUUUUAGCAGGGAAGAAGCGAAAGUGACGGUACCUGCAGAAAAAGCACCGGCUAACUACGUGCCAGCCGCCGCAGUAAAAC
rnacentral:rRNA from 1 species